rnacentral:lncRNA from 1 species
GGAAAGGUUAGCAAAAGAAAAUAAUAGCAUCAGGCUAGUCAGUGAUCAUUGGCUUGCCAAGUGUAAUCUUUCUUUGGCAAUCUACUUCAGAAGAAGAGGUUAUUAACGUAUUUGCUUAUUUUGUAGCAGUUGGGAGAUCUUAAGGUGGAAGUAUGGUGCUAUUUAAUUCAUUCAAACAGAUUGGAAGAUGCUGAAGCUCCUAAAUUCUGGAGUGGCCAAGUAAAGACUCUCAAACCCGUAUAUCUUGGUCUGGAUUCAUUCUUAUUUUCUGUCCUGAAUGUCUGACUCAGAGGACCUCUCACUGUGUUAUCCUCCUGACAUCCCAUACUCUGAAAACCCAACUGGACACACUGUCCACACUUCAAGGCAGUGCUUGUCACUGUCACACUAUUAUUGUGAGUAGUCCUCACCUUUCAAACCUUGGACUUAUCAUUGGCCCUUUAUAGGAUGACAGUUGGUAUUGUGUACCACUUAUAUCCUGAAACUUUGUCCAAUUUACUUAUUACUUUCUGUAGUUUUUUAAUGAAUCAUUGUUUGUUCUAUAGAUUAAAUUAUUGAAUUAACGAAUUCUUUUCCUUCUGGCUUUGAACUCUGGAAUCUUUUCUUUUUCUUAGCUUAUCAAUCUUGAAAGAACUUAUAGUACAAUAUUUGGCAGGUGUGAUGAACACAGAUGUCUCUGUCUUGUCCCUACUCUUUGUUUUAGACUUUUAUCAGUAUAUGAUAUUACUUCUGGGAGUUUCUUUACUUUGUAAUCUCUGUUGAGUGUUUUUUCUCUCUCUCUUUUAUUCUUCCUUCACAUUUUACAUCCUAACUGCAGUUCCCCCUCCUUCCACUUUUCCCAGUCCUCUCUCCAGCUCCCCUCUGCCCCAGAUCCACUCCUCCCUUUUCCCUUCAAAUAACAGCAAGCUUCCCAGGUAUAUCAACCAAACACAGCAUACAAGUUACAAUAAGACCAGACACAUACCAUCAUAUCAAACCUGGAUGAGGCAACCCAGAAGGAAAAAAAGGGUCCCAAAGACAGGCAAAAGAGUUAGAGACAGCCUCACAACCCAAGGGAGGAGUCACACCCAGCUACAAAACACCCAGCUACAGAACCAUAACAUAUAUGCAGAAGACAUAGGUCAGACCCAUACAUUGUCCAUGACUGUCACCUCGGUCUCUGUGAUCCCAAUGAGACUGCUUAGUUUAUUCCAAGGGUCAUGUCCCUGUGGUAUCCUCAUGUGUUUUCUUAUUGUUAAUCAGUGUUUGAUUUCCUUAUCAUUUUAACAUCAGUAAAGAUGUGCAUAUAGUUUUCCAGCUGCUUCUGUUAAUGGUCGGGUUUGUUAUUCUUGAACCACCUUUGUGAUAAUCAUUUUCCAGCCUUAGUUUAUUAGUAGCCUAGGCUAUUAAUAAUUUCAUCAUGUUUGUUAUAAUGGUGGCCAGUUGCUUUCCUUUCCCGUGGUGGCCUUAUCUAGAUUUAGCCUCACACAAUGCUGCCUCAUAGCAUGAGCUAGAAAGUUUUCCCUGUUUUUUUUUUUACAAAAAGUUUGAAGAGUAUAUUACUCUUUAAUAUUUAGUAAAACUCACCAGUGAAAUAACUGAUCCUGGGAUUUUCAUUGUUGUUGGUUUUUGAACAUUCCUUCAAUCUCUCAUUUUAAGUCUGUUCGGAUUUUCUAUUUCUUCUUAAACAAUUGUAGGAGCUUCCAUGUUUCUAUGAUUUCUCACCUUUCUAAUCAGAUCUUAUCUUCCCUUCCAUCAUCCAGGUUUAAAUAAAUUUGGAGGUCAGAAUAAAGAUGCUGGCCUGUUAAAAGUAAGUCUGAAUGGAACUAUGUUUUUAAAAUGCUAAGCCAACUGACUCACCAAAAGAAAUAAAAAGAAACAAGACAGUCUCUUUAUCUUUUGUAUAAUAAAUGCCUCCUAAUUAUAUAUCCUCUGUACCUUAGAACAAAAUAUAUAAGAAAAUUAAAUAAUAUAUUUAACUUUCUGAGGACUUUUCUAGACUUACUUUUAUCUCACUAAAGGGUAAUAGUUCUGAGCCUCCAGAUAGAAAGAGCACACAGUAUUUAUAAAAAUAUAUUUUGCUGUGGAAGUUAUAAUAUAAUUCACUUGUCAUUUUCUUAUCAUGCUCCCAUACCUGAACAUUGUUUAGCAGAUUUGUAUGCGUGGACAAAUCUGGGAGAGCAGAAGAGGCAUAGGGGACACAGGCUAGAUACAUUGUAACUACUAAUCUCUGCAAAAAAGAAUUUAAUCAGGAAAUAUUACUCACCCCUCCAAAAUAUCUCUGACCUUUCCUGUAUCUUCAAUAUUUUGUCUAAACAUCCACUACUUUUUAAAUUCAGACUCAACUAAAAUGUCUUCUACCUUGUACAUUACAGCAAAGAGCAUUAAGCUGCCUCUAUCAGAGGGGGAAAUAGAUUAUACCUCUCCAUCUGCCCCUUCUUCCUUCCUUCCCACUACACACACACACACACACACACACACACACACACACACACACACCAGAGCCUAGUUGAUCACAAGUCUAUUCACUCCCUCUACUAUGAGGGAACACUCACUCUAUGCUGUGCAGGCACUGUGUUAAGUUUUGAACACACAAUACUGACUGUCGCAGACACAGCUCAUGAUUCCUUUAAUCAAAGACUUGGUUCAUGUGACUCUACUGUUAAUCCUUUCCAGAGUUCAGCAAUACAGUUUGAUAGAGAGGAAGUUAAAAGGUAAUGUAGCCAUGACCCUGCAUAUCUUCUGCCCAGGAAACAGUUAAUGGUGUUAUCCAGGAAGUAUCAUGAACUGCACAGAAGUGCAUGUGUUUGCAACUUGAACACUGACAAAGAAGCAAUUCUUUCUGCUAAAGAGGGUAGAAUAAAUCUUCCCUUUGCCCUUGCACACCCUGAGCUGCUGAUCCAGCAGAGAAUGCUGAAUGCUCAUAUCUACAGAAGGCUGCAGGGUCAACCAAAGCAACAAGAGCCACACCAGGAGGUAACCAGAACAGCACAAAACCAAACUUUUGCUGACCAUACUGGGGAAAGAAAAGCAGUGAAGCCAUUGACAAAACUGCGUCCAGAAGAAUCACAACAGCCAAGAACUAAGGAGUCGAGUCCGGCAGUAACUAAGAGAGAGUAGGGGUUGCCAAUCUCAGAAAGGACAGUUUGGACCAAGAGUGGCUACAGAGAAUCCAGUGCCAAUGCCCUUGUCCCUGUCACACAGAACUGUGGAUAGCCUGAAACCGAAUGCCAGCUCUGCCAUUAUACCACUGUGACAUUGUGUGGCUCACUGAACCUCUCGGGAAGUUUAGACAUCUUGUCUGUAAAACAAGCUUACAAGAUGGUGAGAAUAAGAGAGAGUGGAUGCCAAGUAGGUGUUGGUUAAAGAGCGUAUGCUUUCUAUUCUGAGGGGCUGCUCAUCACCAUAAAGCAAUUCUGCAGUACUUUUCAUACAGUUGCAGGCUGUCGUCAUCUGCUGCUCCACAUCAGGGCUGAUGACUGCCUUGCAGGGAGAUCUUUAACUGGGUUUAUUCUGUUCCAGUGACGGGCAGCUUUCGAUGAGUUUCUUACAUGUUUCUCAUAUGUCUACCUGCUUCCUUCCUAUUCCUCAAUGUUUAGUGCAGUUUAUGGGCAGACAUACUCAUUUAUUUUUGUUCUCACUGAUGGUCAGACUUUUAAACAUGGUGAGCACUUAAUAAAUAUUUAAUAUUUUGUACACCUCUCUUUACUUAGUUCAUGGUUGCCUAUUUUUGUUUUAAAAGGUCAUGAACUUAAAAAAGAAAAUUUGAAGAAUUUUUAUAUGUACAUAUAUGUAUAUAUGUAAAUACAUAUAUUUAUAUAUCUAUGUAUCUAUAUCCAAUCUGUGCAGGGAGGUCUUCACCACACUGAUAGGUGGCACAGUUCCUGUUCCCAGAAAGGAACACCUAAAACUGGGAUGUUUGCAAGAAUUCAUCUAAGUUCAAUUGUAGAAAUAUUACAAGUAUAUGAGAAGACAUCCCUUCCCUGCUUCAAAUAAAAAGCAGUCAUUCAUUUUUCUAAGGCAAUUUUAUUACAUGAAAAGUACUUAAUGUAAAGAGAUCUAAAGGAAUUAAGACUUAAAGAAGUAGGCAGUAGUUGUCGUCAGUGAGGAACCUUACCACAGUUCUGUUAGUUGUUGCUAAUUUUAGCCUUCAGGCUCACAGAUAAUGGUUGUAAAACCCAGGACAACUCCAUAAGCACAUUCAUUGCAACCCAGCCUUGGCCAUGAUGAUCUUGCUGUUAAUUAUUUUUUUAGUAUGUAGCUUCUUGCCAAACAUUGCAUAAUCUGUUUGAGUUGCCAUCGUUAAAGAUGGGAAACGUGGAAAGAACAGCAAGCGCUUCCCUGGAUCACAGAAGGACAACAGCCACAGAGCAUAGGCCUUUCAUAAGUCAACAGCACCUUGUCCCCUGCCUCAUCUACCACAUCCCUACUACCACAUCCACAGGAUGUGCAGGCCUGUCUUGGUGAGUUCCCCCACCUGCAUCCAGAGUGAGGGACAGAAUCUGUGUUCCUUAAAGCCACAAGAAUUUAAAAUCUCCAAACUAUUUUACUAGUGUUCUGUGAGCCACCACUGCCAUUAUCAUAAUGAGAGGCUGGCAGCUGGCUUCAGUAAGCCUCUGCUAGCUCAGCUAGUUCAUGAUCACGAGCCGUCCAGAGUCUCACCACUCGGGUAUUGGACACGUGGUGAUACUGAUCCUUUGAUUUGAACACCUGGUGAACUAAGUCCCGGGCAUUAGUCUUAUUAAACAAGAAACUGGUGAUACAAGGCUGGCUGUUGAUUGGGCCAUUCUGAAGUGGGAACGGAGCGCCUGCUAACAGUGCAGAAUCAGAAUUCCGCUUUGUGGGUCAUGCCAUUCAAGCUUAAACACCUACUACUUACAGUGUGAUAUUGGGCAUCUUAAUUUCUGUGUGACUACUUAUCCUUCC